rnacentral:rRNA from 1 species
CAUACGCGUUCAGAGUUUGAUCCUGGCUCAGGACGAACGCUGGCGGCGCGCCUAACACAUGCAAGUCGAACGGAGAAAGAAACAGCUUGCUGGAUCUUUCUUAGUGGCGGACGGGUGAGUAACACGUGAGCAACCUGCCCUUCAGAGAGGAAUAACGCUUGGAAACGAACGCUAAUACCUCAUAACACCUUAGAGAGGCAUCUCUCUGAGGUCAAAGAUUUAUCGCUGAAGGAUGGGCUCGCGUCCGAUUAGGUAGUUGGUGAGAUAACAGCCCACCAAGCCGACGAUCGGUAGCCGGACUGAGAGGUUGAACGGCCACAUUGGGACUGAGACACGGCCCAG